GUAAUGACGUGACUCAAUCACGUCUUCGUACAGUUAUGUUUCCAUUAGAUGUCUGUAGACAGUAUGUCUAUUUGGGUUGUAUGUGGCUUUGUCGGCUUUCAGUUCACUACAGAAAAAGAGGGCUACGACGACAUUUAAUCAACGACAUGUGAAAUAAAUGUCGGAAAAGGACUAAUUUUAUGACACUUAUUUACAAAUGUCGUAAAAUCAAUGACAUUUGGUAAGAAAUGGCACAAUAUUGUGACUUUUAAUUGAAAUGUAGCUAUAUUAGUCGGUAUUUACUGACAUUUAUAACUAAUGAAGGACAUUUGCUUACAUUUAUAAUUAUUAAACUUAAAAUAUAUUAAAUAUAGGGGCGUCUACUAUUUUAUCUCAAAAACUCUACAAAACUCCCCCUUUUCUCAUACGUCUCGCAUUCAUAAAAUUGAGAGGACAAAGCCUUGGAAGUGUGGCACUAGAUAACCACAAGCUCAUUAUUCAUGAAGGACUUGCAAUGUUGGAUCCCUCAAGGAGAUGGCAUUCUGCUUUUCAGUUGAUAUGCAAAAAUUAGAGUCAAGAAGAGGACAGUCUUAUGCAAAGGCUGUUGCCAUAAAGAUUCCAGUUGCCUCUUUGUACGGAGGCUCACUAAGUGAACUGUUGUGAAUCAGUGUUCUUGUAGUCGACAUUGGUCUUUAUUUAUAGUUAGCAUUUAGCUUGUUCUGAAGAUGAAUAAGGAUAAAAAAUUAUAUUCUAUGAGAACCAUUAUCGAAUGAUGGUGUAAGAUUUAUAAAAAUAGCCUCUUUUGUUUUAAUUCAAAUUUCUUUUGUAGGGUAUGAUAUUGUAUUAUCAAAAUUAU